rnacentral:rRNA from 1 species
GCGUAUAUUUAAGUUGUUGCAGUUAAAAAGCCUCGUAGUUGGAUUUUGGUUAAGAGGGCGCGGUCGGCCGUUUGGUCUGUACUGCGUUGUCUUGACUUCCUGAUGAGGACAUGCUCUUGGUUAACGCUGAGACAUGGAGUCAUCGUGGUUACUUUGAAAAAAUUAGAGUGUUCAAAGCGGGCUUACGCUUGAAUAUAUUAGCAUGGAAUAACACUAUAGGACUCCUGUCCUAUCUCGUUGGUCUCGGGAUGGGAGUAAUGAUUAAGAGGAACAGUUGGGGGCAUUCGUAUUUCAUUGUCAGAGGUGAAAUUCUUGGAUUUAUGAAAGACGAACUUCUGCGAAAGCAUUUGCCAAGGAUGUUUUCAUUAAUCAAGAACGAAAGUUGGGGGCUCGAAGAUGAUUAGAUACCAUCCUAGUCUCAACCAUAAACGAUGCCGACUAGGGAUUGGUGGAUGUUAAUUGAUGACUUCACCAGCACCUUAUGAGAAAUCAAAGUUUUUGGGUUCCGGGGGGAGUAUGGUCGCAAGGCUGAAACUUAAAGGAAUU